UUUUAGCGAUAGCGUAACAGCUCAGUGGUCUGAGUUCCCUGAAAAGGGAAUAUUGCCUGGUGAGGGCGCCAUGAAUGUAACGGGUCUAUAGUAGUUGUCUCUCUGUUCCAUUAGGAUAUAGAGGGGGUGGCAGUUGAUACAGAUGCAGAGCUUCUUUACUGCCUCACCGAAACCCUGUCCUAAAUGUAACAUUUUAGGGGUAGCAGAAUACCCAGCAAAUGGAAUGAAGCUUACUCAUAGAGUUGGUGGACAUAGCUGGGCUAAGAAUGCUGACAUGAGUAGCCUAAAAGGAGGGUAAUUUCCUCUUCGCCGAAAGCAGAAGGGUUUCAUUAGUAAGGUCUAUACCUACAUGAUUAAAGUAACGGCCUCUAAGUUUCAGGGUAACAUAUUAGUUUCGAUGAGUAACUCUUCUAUAGGGCAGUAACCUUUCUUAUAAGUUUACCUAUUAAUUAGAGGUAUAUUUCAAAGAGUAAGGUUCGGGAAAGAGCCCUAUGGAAACUUGCCUGAAAUCAGGUAGGUUAAGUCAACCGUACCCUAAACCGACACAGGUCUGCAAGUAGAGCAUACUAAGGCGUAGAGACAAUCGUCUUGAAGGAACUCGGCAAAAUGACCCCGUAACUUUGGAAGAAGGGGUGUCACUUAUUAGUGGCGGCACAAAACA
rnacentral:rRNA from 1 species